rnacentral:tRNA from 1 species
GCGGGAGUAGCUCAGUGGGUAGAGCGCAACCUUGCCAAGGUUGAGGUCGUGAGUUCGAGUCUCUUCUCCCGCUCCA